GCCAAUGUGGCAUAGGGGUUUGAGCACUGAACUAUGACUUUGGAGACCAGGAUUCAAGUCCCAGCUUGGCA